UUUAAUGUUUGAAUACGAAAAUAGUUUUAUAGUACAUGUUGCUAAUCUUCUGAUUAGAUUAUUUGGGACUGAGUUUUCUUUAUGAACAAUGCAAGUUUCAACUAGGCCAUAUUUUACGGCUUCAAUAUUUGUUUUUUUUUUUUUCAAACGAAAUAAUUAGACAAUCUUAACUUCACUUCUAAAAAACUAGUUAUAAUUAUAAUGAUACACUCUAGUGGAGUUUUGUGUUACGUUUAUCCGUACUUAUUAAAUUAUUCAUGAUUCACAAUGCAUUUUUUAAAAAAUUAAGGAAAUAUUAUGACACUU
rnacentral:lncRNA from 1 species